rnacentral:rRNA from 1 species
UACGAAGGGGGCUAGCGUUGUUCGGAAUUACUGGGCGUAAAGCGCGCGCAGGCGGCUAUCCAAGUCAGUGGUGAAAGCCCGGAGCUCAACUCCGGAACUGCCAUUGAAACUGUUUAGCUUGAGGACGAGAGAGGUGAGUGGAAUUCCCAGUGUAGAGGUGAAAUUCGUAGAUAUUGGGAAGAACACCAGUGGCGAAGGCGGCCUUCUGGGACUCAACUGACGCUGAAGCGCGAAAGCAUGGGGAGCGAACGGG